UGGGGCGUAGCCAAGCGGUAAGGCAACGGGUUUUGGUCCCGCUAUGCGGAGGUUCGAAUCCUUCCGUCCCAG
rnacentral:tRNA from 1 species